AGGGACUGGUUCUGGUCAGCUGAAGGAGAAGUGACAACAGAGAGACCUGGUCUGCAUUGUAGUCAAGAGAUGCCGUAGAGGUUGUGGCUGGUCUGUACGAUCAGGUGGAUGAGCUGGUUCACAAGCUGGUGAUGCUGUCCAACCAACGCACUCAGGAACUGGACUUUAUCAUGGAGUUCAAGAGUCUGGAGCAGGGAUUCAAGGAGGUGAGUGACUGGAUUGAGGAGGUUGGAGAG